rnacentral:rRNA from 1 species
GGAAUAUUGCGCAAUGGGGGCAACCCUGACGCAGCCAUGCCGCGUGUGUGAAGAAGGCCUUCGGGUUGUAAAGCACUUUCACUUGGGAAGAAAAGUUUAACGUUAAUAGCGUUAAGCCCUGACAUUACCUUGAGAAGAAGCACCGGCCAACUCCGUGCCAGCAGCCGCGGUAAUACGGAGGGUGCGAGCGUUAAUCGGAAUUACUGGGCGUAAAGCGCGCGUAGGCGGUUUGUUAAGUCAGCUGUGAAAGCCCCGGGCUCAACCUGGGAACUGCAGUUGAUACUGGCCGACUGGAGUACGAGAGAGGGAGGUAGAAUUCCAUGUGUAGCGGUGAAAUGCGUAGAGAUUUGGAGGAAUACCAGUGGCGAAGGCGGCCCCCUGGCACAAUACUGACGCUCAGGUGCGAAAGCGUGGGGAGCAAA